AUCAUACUUUGCUUAUCUUCUAUCACAAAGCCUUGCCCUCUUGCUAAAGCCACAGCAAGUCGCUGCACCAUCUCCUCCUAGGAAACAAUGGGUAGUUCCCUCUGUGGCUUUGCAAGCAACAGAUAUUGGGCUUUAGCUUUCUGGCAGAGAACUUUUCCAUUUACACAGUGUUAUGUGAAGGUUACUUUACAACUUAGAGCAAGAAGACAAAGCUGUGAAGUAUAUAUACAAGUCUACUCUGACAACAGAAAAAAUACAUACGUUAUUUUCUUCUUGUUGCUUAUUUCUUUACAACCUUGAUAGCAAGUUGCACUAACUAGAAUAUGCAUCAUUAGACUUAUGUCUCAUAGAACAAAAGAAAUACCAAAUGCUGUGUAUUUUGGAUAUAGUGAAAUUAAAUCUCUCCUGCGUAUAUUAUGCUAUUAGAAUGGCUCAAACACAUCACAAGUACUGACACUCUGCAGAAUUUCUGGAAUGCUGUGCUGUUCCUUGAUGCCAUUCAUGAAGACAACAGAUCUCCUCCUCCACUCGUGCACCGAUGCAUGCUCUCCAUUACCCUGCUUGCAGCAAAUGACACUGACAAGUACAGACCAUGACAAAACGUCUCUCCCUGCUACUAACAAGGCUGCUCCAGUGCUCUGCAACUUUCUUCUUUACAGCCACUGCAUUUUCUAUCUUCUUUUGGACAUGAAGUAACAUCUCGGUCCAACUAAAUUAGUAAAGUCUCCUAAAUAAAGGCAAGUUUAUCUCAGAGCAGAGAACACCUCGCUACAUAAGGAAGCGCAGUGGAAGCAUUCUGUCAACUGAUGAACGGAGGAUUAGAACUCAAACUGAAACACUUCUCAUUCACAGAGCUCAAGUGCUUUAUUCGUGAGCAUAAGCAUCAUAUGGCGUGGUACAUAUCCAGCUCAUUAAACUCAGAUUUGGGAAGGUUAAGCAAUGUGUCCAGAAUUACCUAGCAAGUCUAACAGUAGAGCAAGAGGCAGAAGCUGCUUCCUCAGUCUGAGCCCCUUUGCAAUGGGUUCAACAAGAUGAGUGACUUCAGAUCAACGGAUCAACUAAUUUUUCUUGACAAACAACAGCUUUUUAAGGCAACUGUUAUAUGUGUCUGUUGCACAUACCAAGCAAAAACAUAAACCCUUCACUUGUAUGAAUAUGAAAACAUUACACAUUGAAAAAUGGAAAGUAUUAAUGCAAAACUUAUCUGUAUCACAGUGCAAUUCACAUCCAGGUACAGCUGCUGAUGCUCCAGAAUGACCAGGAAGCCCUUCCAUUAUACCUGCACUGUGCUGGUUAAUUCAUGUAUAUUCACAGAGCUGAAUGCUUCGGAAAGCUGAAUGCUUCACGUUCUUUUCAUUCUCAAUAUCUGAAUGUGAUUAAAAUUCGUUAAAGAG
ensembl:lncRNA